CCUACGGGAGGCAGCAGUGAGGAAUAUUGGUCAAUGGGCGAGAGCCUGAACCAGCAAAGUCGCGUGAAGGAUGACGGCCCUACGGGUUGUAAACUUCUUUUGUCAGGGAGCAAUUGGGUCCACGCGUGGGCUUAGCGAGAGUACCUGAAGAAAAAGGAUCGGCUAACUCCGUGCCAGCAGCAGAGGUCAUCCGGAGGAGGCGAGCGUUAUCCGGAUUUGUUGGGGUUAAAGGGUGCGUAGGCGGAAUAGUAAGUCAGCGGUAAAAUUUCGGGGCUCAACCCCGUCGUGCCGUUGAAACUGUUGUUCUUGAGUGGGCGAGAAGUAGGCGGAAUGCGUGGUGUAGCGGUGAAAUGCAUAGAUAUCACGCAGAACUCCGAUUGCGAAGGCAGCAUACCGGCGCCCAACUGACGCUGAAGCACGAAAGCGUGGGGAUCGAACAGGAUUAGAUACCCCAGUAGUC
rnacentral:rRNA from 1 species